UAAGGGUUGACUGUUCCCAGCUAGGGAGGGGCCACCCUCUUUGGCACCAUCUCUUGUACUCAUUGGUACUCUGCAUAGUGACCUAAGAUGGAACAGGGGUUAACUCUUUAUUCACCACAGGAACUGAAAAGGAACCAAGACAGCAUCAAAUCUUAACCUCUGAGCCUACCGAAUCUGAGUUUACUCUUGACACAAUUCUACUGGUACAUAAUCUGUUUGUGAUACAGACAUGGCUGCUCUGAUGAUCUGAUCUAUGUCGUUGAGUUCUCCCACUGCU
rnacentral:lncRNA from 1 species